rnacentral:lncRNA from 1 species
CUUGCCUGGCUCAUGAAGAUCCAGACGGGGCUCAGCCUUCAGACCAAUGGCGAGGGCUCACUGCUGACUUUGGCAAGAGCCCCUUUGGAGGAGGGCUGGGGUGCAAGCCUGACCAGAGGGACUCCCAGAGCAGGAGGGAGGCAAGGAUCUGGAGUGUUGGAUCCGGAUCAAGCAGAAUCCCAAAAGAAUCCUGCCUCAUGUUAUUGGAAACCAGCACCUGCGUGGAGAGCAGUUGCCAAACAGAGGCUUGGAUAAAGAGGAGGUGAAUAGCUUGAGAGGGGGCUUGGAUUCAUUCUCUUUUCCAGCAUUUCCCUGGGCAUUGAAUUUGUAUCAUGUCUGGCACUUAGUGCUCGGAUGCUUCUGUUGAGUAAGAGAUCACCAUCCCCAAGGAACCCAAGGUGAAAAACAGGCGAGAGAGGAAGUGGAGAGCAGUUGUGAAG